GCGACCCCAGGAUGGGCGAGGCCACCCGCUGAAUUU
rnacentral:rRNA from 1 species